rnacentral:rRNA from 2 species
GAACCGAACUCUGGGUAUUGAUUGGUGCUUGCAUCAUGAUUUACAUUUGAGUGAGUGGCGAACUGGUGAGUAACACGUGGGAAACCUGCCCAGAAGCGGGGGAUAACACCUGGAAACAGAUGCUAAUACCGCAUAACAACUUGGACCGCAUGGUCCGAGCUUGAAAGAUGGCUUCGGCUAUCACUUUUGGAUGGUCCCGCGGCGUAUUAGCUAGAUGGUGGGGUAACGGCUCACCAUGGCAAUGAUACGUAGCCGACCUGAGAGGGUAAUCGGCCACAUUGGGACUGAGACACGGCCCAAACUCCUACGGGAGGCAGCAGUAGGGAAUCUUCCACAAUGGACGAAAGUCUGAUGGAGCAACGCCGCGUGAGUGAAGAAGGGUUUCGGCUCGUAAAACUCUGUUGUUAAAGAAGAACAUAUCUGAGAGUAACUGUUCAGGUAUUGACGGUAUUUAACCAGAAAGCCACGGCUAACUACGUGCCAGCAGCCGCGGUAAUACGUAGGUGGCAAGCGUUGUCCGGAUUUAUUGGGCGUAAAGCGAGCGCAGGCGGUUUUUUAAGUCUGAUGUGAAAGCCUUCGGCUCAACCGAAGAAGUGCAUCGGAAACUGGGAAACUUGAGUGCAGAAGAGGACAGUGGAACUCCAUGUGUAGCGGUGAAAUGCGUAGAUAUAUGGAAGAACACCAGUGGCGAAGGCGGCUGUCUGGUCUGUAACUGACGCUGAGGCUCGAAAGUAUGGGUAGCAAACAGGAUUAGAUACCCUGGUAGUCCAUACCGUAAACGAUGAAUGCUAAGUGUUGGAGGGUUUCCGCCCUUCAGUGCUGCAGCUAACGCAUUAAGCAUUCCGCCUGGGGAGUACGGCCGCAAGGCUGAAACUCAAAGGAAUUGACGGGGGCCCGCACAAGCGGUGGAGCAUGUGGUUUAAUUCGAAGCUACGCGAAGAACCUUACCAGGUCUUGACAUACUAUGCAAAUCUAAGAGAUUAGACGUUCCCUUCGGGGACAUGGAUACAGGUGGUGCAUGGUUGUCGUCAGCUCGUGUCGUGAGAUGUUGGGUUAAGUCCCGCAACGAGCGCAACCCUUAUUAUCAGUUGCCAGCAUUAAGUUGGGCACUCUGGUGAGACUGCCGGUGACAAACCGGAGGAAGGUGGGGAUGACGUCAAAUCAUCAUGCCCCUUAUGACCUGGGCUACACACGUGCUACAAUGGAUGGUACAACGAGUUGCGAACUCGCGAGAGUAAGCUAAUCUCUUAAAGCCAUUCUCAGUUCGGAUUGUAGGCUGCAACUCGCCUACAUGAAGUCGGAAUCGCUAGUAAUCGCGGAUCAGCAUGCCGCGGUGAAUACGUUCCCGGGCCUUGUACACACCGCCCGUCACACCAUGAGAGUUUGUAACACCCAAAGUCGGUGGGGAACCUUU